rnacentral:misc_RNA from 1 species
GAAAUGCGAUAAGUAAUGUGAAUUGCAGAAUUCAGUGAAUCAUCGAAUCUUUGAACGCACCUUGCGCUCCUUGGUAUUCCUUGGAGCAUGCCUGUUUGAGUAUCAUGAAAUCUUCUAAGUAAAUCUUUUGUUAUCUCAAUUGGUUUCUACUUUGGUAUUGGAGGUCUUUGCAGCUUCACACCUGCUCCUCUUUGUUCAUUAGCUGGAUCUCAGUGUUAUGCUUGGUUCCACUCGGCGUGAUAAGUUAUCUAUCGCUGAGGACACUGUAAAAGGUGGCCAAGGUAAAUGCAGAUGAACCGCUUCUAAUAGUCCAUUGACUUGGACAAUACUUUUAUGAUCUGAUCUCAAAUCAGGUAGGACUACCCGCUGAACUUAAGC